rnacentral:rRNA from 1 species
UAACACAUGCAAGUCGAACGAGAGAGAGGGAGCUUGCUUCCUCAAUCGAGUGGCGAACGGGUGAGUAACGCGUGAGGAACCUGCCUCAAAGAGGGGGACAACAGUUGGAAACGACUGCUAAUACCGCAUAAGCCCACAGGUCGGCAUCGACCAGAGGGAAAAGGAGCAAUCCGCUUUGAGAUGGCCUCGCGUCCGAUUAGCUAGUUGGUGAGGUAACGGCCCACCAAGGCAACGAUCGGUAGCCGGACUGAGAGGUUGAACGGCCACAUUGGGACUGAGACACGGCCCAGACUCCUACGGGAGGCAGCAGUGGGGAAUAUUGCACAAUGGGGGAAACCCUGAUGCAGCGACGCCGCGUGGAGGAAGAAGGUCUUCGGAUUGUAAACUCCUGUUGUUGAGGAAGAUAAUGACGGUACUCAACAAGGAAGUGACGGCUAACUACGUGCCAGCAGCCGCGGUAAAACGUAGGUCACAAGCGUUGUCCGGAAUUACUGGGUGUAAAGGGAGCGCAGGCGGGAAGACAAGUUGGAAGUGAAAUCUAUGGGCUCAACCCAUAAACUGCUUUCAAAGCUGUUUUUCUUGAGUAGUGCAGAGGUAGGCGGAAUUCCUGGUGUAGCGGUGGAAUGCGUAGAUAUCGGGAGGAACACCAGUGGCGAAGGCGGCCUACUGGGCACCAACUGACGCUGAGGCUCGAAAGUGUGGGUAGCAAACAGGAUUAGAUACCCUGGUAGUCCACACCGUAAACGAUGAUUACUAGGUGUUGGAGGAUUGACCCCUUCAGUGCCGCAGUUAACACAAUAAGUAAUCCACCUGGGGAGUACGACCGCAAGGUUGCAACUCAAAGGAAUUGA